rnacentral:rRNA from 2 species
GUAAUGUCUGGGAAACUGCCUGAUGGAGGGGGAUAACUACUGGAAACGGUGGCUAAUACCGCAUAACGUCGCAAGACCAAAGAGGGGGACCUUCGGGCCUCUUGCCAUCAGAUGUGCCCAGAUGGGAUUAGCUUGUUGGUGAGGUAACGGCUCACCAAGGCGACGAUCCCUAGCUGGUCUGAGAGGAUGACCAGCCACACUGGAACUGAGACACGGUCCAGACUCCUACGGGAGGCAGCAGUGGGGAAUAUUGCACAAUGGGCGCAAGCCUGAUGCAGCCAUGCCGCGUGUAUGAAGAAGGCCUUCGGGUUGUAAAGUACUUUCAGCGGGGAGGAAGGUGUUGUGGUUAAUAACC